rnacentral:rRNA from 1 species
AGAGUUUGAUCCUGGCUCAGGACGAACGCUGGCGGCGCGCUUAACACAUGCAAGUCGAGCGAUAACCAUGGCUUCGGCCAUGGGGAGAGCGGCGAACGGGUGAGUAACACGUGAGCGAUCUGCCCUCGACACUGGGAUAGCCCGGGGAAACCCGGAUUAAUACCGGAUAGCCUCUCGAGCCCACGGGCUCGUGAGAAAGGAUGGCUUCGGCUUUCGGUUGAGGAGGAGCUUGCGGCGGAUUAGCUUGUUGGUGAGGUAACGGCUCACCAAGGCGACGAUCCGUAGCUGGUCUGAGAGGACGAUCAGCCACACUGGGACUGAGACACGGCCCAGACUCCUACGGGAGGCAGCAGUGGGGAAUCUUGCGCAAUGGGCGAAAGCCUGACGCAGCGACGCCGCGUGAGGGAAGAAGGCCUUCGGGUUGUAAACCUCUUUCAGGAGGGACGAAGCUACUCGGGUUAAUAGCCCAGAGGGUGACGGUACCUCCAGAAGAAGCCCCGGCUAACUACGUGCCAGCAGCCGCGGUAAUACGUAGGGGGCAAGCGUUGUCCGGAAUCAUUGGGCGUAAAGCGCGUGUAGGCGGCCAGAUAAGUCCGCUGUGAAAUCUCGAGGCUCAACUUCGAGCUGUCGGUGGAAACUAUCUGGCUAGAGUCCGGAAGAGGAGAAUGGAAUUCCUGGUGUAGCGGUGAAAUGCGCAGAUAUCAGGAAGAACACCCGUGGCGAAGGCGGUUCUCUGGGACGGUACUGACGCUGAGACGCGAAAGCGUGGGGAGCGAACAGGAUUAGAUACCCUGGUAGUCCACGCCGUAAACGAUGGGAACUAGGUGUGGGGGGUGUCGACUCCCUCCGUGCCGAAGCUAACGCAUUAAGUUCCCCGCCUGGGGAGUACGGCCGCAAGGCUAAAACUCAAAGGAAUUGACGG